AGUUCUUCCUGAGAAAAGUACCAAGGCAUAGGUUCCUUAAGUGAUCUUAAAUUGUCUCGUAAGCAUUUUAUAUGUGGGAAGCACUUAGGAAAUAAAUGUUCAAUGAAUGAAUUAAUGAAGGAAUGAAUGCGAAAACAGCUAUGAAAAAAAGCUUAAAAAGAUUCUGCCUGCUUAUGCAAGAUGCUAAUCAUAGCAUUCCAGAAUGCUAAUGGAGAAUUAGCCCAUUUUGAAUUUUGGGAAGAGGACCAGUCUGACCAUACACACUUUUCUCAGCACAUGACAGACAGUAGCACCCUAGCAGCCAUCCUGUAUUUUGAAGAUGAAUGAGUGACACCAAGGAUGAGAAACCAAGAAGACCUCAUCCUUCAAGGUUCAUUCAUUUUUAUUGAAGAGUAAUAGUUUAUUGCAACACAGUGAAAAGGUAACCUACAGAAAGGAGAAAAAUAUUUGCAAACUAUAUAUCUUAUGUUGAUUAAUUUCCAAAAUAUCUAAGUAACG
rnacentral:lncRNA from 1 species